GAUUGGCUUGUUGUCAGGACCACAAAGCCCUUCAAAUGCAACUAACUGCAUACUACUGCCUUACUGUGUACUUGUAACUCAGAGGAAAACAUUGUCCAACUACAUUUACC